UCAUAGCUCAAUAGUAGAACACCUGCUUAGUAUGCAGAAGGCCCCAAGUUCAAUCCUCAGCAUCUCAA